UUGCAGCAGUAAGGAAUAUUGGUCAAUGGACGCAAGUCUGAACCAGCCAUGCCGCGUGGAGGAUUAAGGCCCUCUGGGUUGUAAACUCCUUUUAUCUGGGAAGAAAUGCAUUUUUUCUAAAGUGCUUGACGGUACCAGAGGAAUAAGCACCGGCUAACUCCGUGCCAGCAGCCGCGGUAAUACGGAGGGUGCAAGCGUUAUCCGGAUUCACUGGGUUUAAAGGGUGCGUAGGCGGGCAGGUAAGUCCGUGGUGAAAUCUCUGAGCUUAACUCAGAAACUGCCAUGGAUACUAUUUGUCUUGAAUAUUGUGGAGGUAAGCGGAAUAUGUCAUGUAGCGGUGAAAUGCUUAGAUAUGACAUAGAACACCAAUUGCGAAGGCAGCUUACUACACAGUUAUUGACGCUGAGGCACGAAAGCGUGGGGAUCAAACAGGAUUAGAUACCCUGGUAG
rnacentral:rRNA from 1 species